UUUUGAAUGUCUUACAUAAGAAUCGCGUCUUACAUUUCAAUAUAUAAGAUGAAUUUUAGCUGGUAUUUACCGGCGAGACGUUUAUACCAUUGUUCAUGUGGUCUUUGAGGUUAAUGCCAAAUUCCAAGAUUACGUGUUUACGCUGCAGGGCAACAAUACUAAAUUCAUAAUUGCAGAAGAACAUUCCGAUAGUUCACUGGUAGAAAGAUUCAUAUGUGAAAUGCGGUUAGUCACGGAAAAUGUUAUAGUUGCCUUGGUAACAAUAAUGACAUUAAAGAUUUUAUUUCGAUUUUACCAAACACGGACAAAAA